rnacentral:rRNA from 1 species
UACAGAGGAUGCAAGCGUUGUCCGGAAUUAUUGGGCGUAAAGUGUGUGUAGGUGGCUUUUCAAGUCCGUCGUCAAAUCCCAGGGCUCAACCCUGGACAGGCGGUGGAAACUGCCAAACUAGAGUACGGUAGAGGCAGAGGGAAUUUCCGGUGGAGCGGUGAAAUGCGUUGAGAUCGGGAAGAACACCAACUGGCGAAAGCACCCUGCUGGGCCGUCACUGACGCUGAGAGACGAAAGCUAGGGGAGCGAAUGGG